UACGGGGGGGGCAAGCGUUGUUCGGAAUUACUGGGCGUAAAGGGCUCGUAGGUGGCCAACUAAGUCAGACGUGAAAUCCCUCAGCUUAACUGGGGAACUGCGUCUGAUACUGGAUGGCUUGAGUUUGGGAGAGGGAUGCGGAAUUCCAGGUGUAGCGGUGAAAUGCGUAGAUAUCUGGAGGAACACCGGUGGCGAAGGCGGCAUCCUGGACCGGUAUUGACGCUGAGGCGCGAAAGCUAGGGGAGCGAACGGG
rnacentral:rRNA from 1 species